CAGGAGGCCAGGAGGCUGAGCAGGGAAGAUGGGGUAAGCCAUGUGUCAGGUGAAGGCAUGCCUAGGAGCCUAUCUGAGAUAUACAGGGGUGAAGAGAAGAGCAAGGAGGUUACAUUCUGACAGAAAUUCCAGGAUAUUGUAUGGAUCUGCCUUUUACUGUUUGGGUGAAAAACCAUUAUAUAUACCUGAAGAUAUGAGGUU